GUCCACGCCGUAAACGAUGAAUACUAGGUGUAGGGGUAUCGACUCCCUCUGUGCCGCAGCUAACGCAAUAAGUAUUCCACCUGGGGAGUACGGCCGCAAGGUUGAAACUCAAAGGAAUUGACGGGGCCCGCACAAGCAGUGGAUUAUGUGGUUUAAUUCGAAGCAACGCGAAGAACCUUACCAGGACUUGACAUCCUUUGACGACCAUAGAGAUAUGGUUUCCCUCGGGGCAAAGAGACAGGUGGUGCAUGGUUGUCGU
rnacentral:rRNA from 1 species